rnacentral:rRNA from 1 species
UAGGGAAUCUUCGGCAAUGGGGGCAACCCUGACCGAGCAACGCCGCGUGAGUGAAGAAGGUUUUCGGAUCGUAAAGCUCUGUUGUAAGAGAAGAACGUGUGUGAGAGUGGAAAGUUCACACAGUGACGGUAACUUACCAGAAAGGGACGGCUAACUACGUGCCAGCAGCCGCGGUAAUACGUAGGUCCCGAGCGUUGUCCGGAUUUAUUGGGCGUAAAGCGAGCGCAGGCGGUUUAAUAAGUCUGAAGUUAAAGGCAGUGGCUUAACCAUUGUUCGCUUUGGAAACUGUUAAACUUGAGUGCAGGAGGGGAGAGUGGAAUUCCAUGUGUAGCGGUGAAAUGCGUAGAUAUAUGGAGGAACACCGGUGGCGAAAGCGGCUCUCUGGUCUGUAACUGACGCUGAGGAUCGAAAGCGUGGGGAGCAAACAGG